CGUAGGGUCCAAGCGUUAUCCGGAUUUAUUGGGCGUAAAGCGCAUGUAGGUGGUUUUGUAAGUCUUGUUUUAAAGCUCUGGGCUCAACCCAGAAUCUGGACGAGAUACUAUAAGACUAGUGGUCAGCAGGGGCAAACGGAAUUCCCGGUGUAGGAGUGAAAAUCCGUUGAUAUCGGGAGGAACACCAAUGGCGAAGGCAGUUUGCUAGGCUGAUUCAGACACUGAGAUGUGAAAGCGUGGGGAGCGAACGGGAUUAGAUACCCCGGUAAUCCACGCCGUAAACGAUGCAACACUGGGCAUUGGAAGUAUCGACCCUUCUUGUGCCGAAGCUAACGCGUUAAGUGUGCCGCCUGGGAAGUACGGUCGCAAGACUA
rnacentral:rRNA from 1 species